GUUUCUGUAGUGUAGUGGUCAUCUUGUUCGCCUUACACGCGAAAGGUCCUCGGUUCGAAACUGAGCAGAAACA
rfam:Danio rerio chromosome 4, GRCz11 reference primary assembly.